rnacentral:lncRNA from 1 species
CUAAUAUGAAGAGACAGGAUGGAUACAUUGGAACCGUACACUGGUUGCGCAAGCAAGGGCACUACCACAGAUACCUCCUUGCAGCUGAAGCCGGACCUGAAGGAGCUGACGACUGGAGGCUGUCUGCUGACGGUGCCCACAGUCAGGCAAGACCUGAGUUGUGAGAAUGGGAAGUACAAAGUCCUCCAGUGGGUAAUAGAGAAUGAUGAUCCCUGACCAGCUGUCCAGGCUAUUCAAGGCUAUGAAUGAGUCCACAUAUUCUCACUGGAUCUCUUAUCUUUCCAACAGAGAAAGUGAAUGACCAGUAUUUCCAGAACAUAUUUGAUUAUAAGAACCACCCCCACCUCUUUGUUGGUAACAUCUGUCAACAACCUAUGGAAAUAGAAUUUGUUGGAACACGCUUAGGAUGAUGCUGGACUGGAG